CCCAAACGCCAGGCGAUGGAAGCCGUUAGGGCGUGGCGGAACCGGAAGGCGGCCUAGGGACGCACGCAGGCUCGGCUGUCUCUUUAGGCCACGGAGCUGCGUAGAUCCGGAACCCUGGGCGACUGAUCUGUCCCCAUUGGGCGAGACCUACCUAGACAAAGGCCUUAACAUACCGACAAAGGCCUUAAGGGGCCUGGGAGGGGGUGGAAGGAAGUCGUACAAAAUAAAUGUCUUCUGGAGAUGAUUUUUGGAAAUGGAGUUAUUAGACAGCCCCUGGAAGCGAUACAUCCACGUUUGUUCAGUGGGUUAGAUGACAUGGAGCUGGAAGACCUGAGAAGGAAGAGAAGAAGGUUCUAUGACAGACUGGUCAUAUUUAGAAGACACUUUCAUAUUCUAUCCAUAGUUUUGUAUGCAUUUUAUUCCUCACUACCUUAUAUAUAGUUGACAAUGCUAAGCUUUUUUGAAAUGUCUGUUUUUUUAGAUGUUCUGAAGU
rnacentral:lncRNA from 1 species